UAAAAGAAGAUUUUUAGUGAUGUUUCAUUAUUGAUUACUCUACCAGGUAUUAAUAAUCAUUAUUGAUUACUCUACCAGGUAUUAAUAAUAAUUACUGAUUAAUCUACCAGGUAUUAAUAAUCAUUAUUGAUUACUCUACCAGGUAUUAAUAAUAAUUAUUGAUUAAUCUACCAGGUAUUAAUAAUCAUUAUUGAUUACUCUACCAGGUGUUAAUAAUAAUUAUUGAUUAAUCUACCAGGUAUUAAUAAUCAUUAUUGAUUACUCUACCAGGUGUUAAUAAUCAUUAUUGAUUAAUCUACCAGGUAUUAAUAAACAGUUUCAGGUUCGUCUCAAGUCUGACAUUUAAAAAUGAACUUUUGUUAAUCGAU